rnacentral:pre_miRNA from 1 species
UUAUUACUCCCUCCGUUCGGAAUUACUUGUCGCAGAAAUGGAUGUAUCUAGAUGUGUUUUAAUUCUAGAUACAUCCAUAUCCGAGACAAGUAAUUCCGAACCGAGGGAGUAUAUU